rnacentral:rRNA from 1 species
AGCAUAUCAAUAAGCGGAGGAAAAGAAACCAACAGGGAUUGCCUUAGUAACUGCGAGUGAAGCGGCAAAAGCUCAAAUUUUAAAUCUGGCACCUGCGGUGUCCGAGUUGUAAUUUGAAGAGGCAUUGUCGGAUUGGGCGCUAUCCUAAGUUCCUUGGAACAGGACGUCACAGAGGGUGAGAAUCCCGUGAAUGGAUGGCUGUCUCGGUUCAGGUGUAAUGUCUUCGACGAGUCGAGUUGUUUGGGAAUGCAGCUCAAAAUGGGUGGUAAAUGUCAUCUAAAGCUAAAUAUGGGCGAGAGACCGAUAGCGCACAAGUAGAGUGAUCGAAAGAUGAAAAGCACUUUGAAAAGAGAGUUAAAAAGUACGUGAAAUUGUUGAAAGGGAAGCGCUCAAGACCAGACUCAAUCUGUGGUGAUCAGCAGUGCUUCGGUACUGUGCACUUGCCACUCUUUGGGACAGCAUCGGUUUGAAUGGUGGGAUAAAGGCCCGAGGAAUGUAGCUCUCUUCGGAGAGUGUUAUAGCCUUGAGUGCAAUGCCGCCAAUUCGGACCGAGGAUCGCGCUUUUUGCUAGGGUGCUGUCAUAAUGGUCUUCAGCGACCCGUC